CCUACGGGGGGCAGCAGUGGGGAAUAUUGCACAAUGGGCGCAAGCCUGAUGCAGCGACGCCGCGUGGAGGAUGACGGCCUUCGGGUUGUAAACUCCUUUCAGCAGGGAAGAAGCGCAAGUGACGGUACCUGCAGAAGAAGCGCCGGCUAACUACGUGCCAGCAGCCGCGGUAAUACGUAGGGCGCAAGCGUUGUCCGGAAUUAUUGGGCGUAAAGAGCUCGUAGGCGGUGUGUCGCGUCUGCUGUGAAAACUCAAGGCUCAACCUUGGGCUUGCAGUGGGUACGGGCACACUAGAGUGCGGUAGGGGUGACUGGAAUUCCUGGUGUAGCGGUGGAAUGCGCAGAUAUCAGGAGGAACACCGAUGGCGAAGGCAGGUCACUGGGCCGCAACUGACGCUGAGGAGCGAAAGCAUGGGGAGCGAACAGGAUUAGAUACCCGAGUAGUC
rnacentral:rRNA from 1 species